AGUGAACGCUGGCGGUAGGCCUAACACAUGCAAGUCGAACGGCAGCACAGUAAGAGCUUGCUCUUACGGGUGGCGAGUGGCGGACGGGUGAGGAAUACAUCGGAAUCUACUUUUUCGUGGGGGAUAACGUAGGGAAACUUACGCUAAUACCGCAUACGACCUACGGGUGAAAGCAGGGGAUCUUCGGACCUUGCGCGAUUGAAUGAGCCGAUGUCGGAUUAGCUAGUUGGCGGGGUAAAGGCCCACCAAGGCGACGAUCCGUAGCUGGUCUGAGAGGAGGGUCAGCCACACGGGAACUGGAACGCGGUCCAGGCUACUACGGGAGGCAGCAGUGGGGAAUAUUGGACAAUGGGCGCAAGCCUGAUCCAGCGAUACCGCGUGGGUGAAGAAGGCCUUCGGGGUGUAAAGCCCUUUUGUGGGGAAAGAAAAGCAGCAGGUUAAUACCCCGCUGUUCUGACGGUACCCAAAGAAUAAGCACCGGCUAACUUCGUG
rnacentral:rRNA from 1 species